rnacentral:rRNA from 1 species
GGGUCUAUCCAUUGGUCGGGCUUUACGGUCCGUACUGGUUCGAUGGGUUCCUACCUUCUGAAUAACCGGCAUGCCAUUCAGUUGGUGCGCCGGGGAAGCAGAGCUAUUACCUUGAAAAAAUUAGAGUGCUUAAAGCAGGCUAUUGCUUGAAUAGAUUAGCAUGGAAUAAUAAAAUAGGACGGCAUGGCUCUAUUUUGUUGGUUUCUAGGAUCACCGUA